rnacentral:rRNA from 1 species
CGUAGGGUGCGAGCGUUAAUCGGAAUUACUGGGCGUAAAGCGUGCGCAGGCGGUUUUGUAAGCCAGAUGUGAAAUCCCGGGCUCAACCUGGGAAUGGCAUUUGGGACUGCAAGGCUGGAGUGUGGCCGAGGAGACUGGAAUUCCUGGUGUAGCAGUGAAAUGCGUAGAUAUCAGGAGGAAUACCGAUGGCGAAGGCAGGUCUCUGGGCUAACACUGACGCUCAUGCACGAAAGCGUGGGGAGCAAACAGGAUUAGAUACCCUGGUAGUCCACGCCCUAAACGAUGUCGACUGGUUGUUGGGGGUUUGACACUCUCAGUAACGAAGCUAACGCGUGAAGUCGACCGCCUGGGGAUACGGCCGACAAGGUUA